rnacentral:rRNA from 1 species
CACGUAGGCGGAUCUUUAAGUCAGGGGUGAAAUCCCGAGGCUCAACCUCGGAACUGCCUUUGAUACUGGGGAUAUCGAGUCCGGGAGAGGUGAGUGGAACUGCGAGUGUAGAGGUGAAAUUCGUAGAUAUUCGCAAGAACACCAGUGGCGAAGGCGGCUCACUGGCCCGGUACUAACGCUGAGGUGCGAAAGCGUGGGGAGCAAACA